UCUUCCUUCCUCCUCUUCUCUCUUUCCUCCCUUCUCCUUCCUUCUCCCGCCUCCCAUCCCCCUUUGGUCUCGCUGCAACCAAAUUGUGCUUCUCUAAAGAUGAGGGUAGGAAAGAGGCGGAGGACGGCAAUGACGAGGGAGGAGGGGAAGGUAGGGUGGUGAUAUGUGGCGAUAAUAGGUUGUGGAUGGAAGAAGAUGAAGGCUUGGGAACUCUUCUUCAUCCUUGCAUUAUUUCAGCGUCCGUGUGAUGAUGUAACUGAGCAAGAGGUUCUCAACGAAUUUCAAACAGAUACAAACUUCAGCACCUAACCCCGAUGUGCCUCGCUAAAACUAAAAAUUCUGCAGUACUGAUUCAAACUGCACGACUAGCCUGGUUUUCCCAAGUUUGUACCCGUCCCCAAAAUUUGUACGGCCAAAAAUUGGAUCAGCACAAAUCCUCUCACCGCACGCAUAUGGACAGAUUGAAGGAUUUGGAACCUGUUGCAGGUAGAAGAGACGCUACCAAUUUGUUUAUUCGCCAACCAGGCAAAGCAGAGAAAGUGGGAAUAGAAAAAUGCCUAAACCUUUGCAAGCACUGGUCACUAAUAUAUAUUUGAA